CUCAUAGGUCUUUGCCAACUUGAUGGUAACUACUAACAUGUUCUAGGUGGCAGAAAGCAUCUUGCUUGAUACAGCAAUUUGUUACUGUACAACGCGAAGCCUAUGGUGACAGGGAAGGACUAGCUCAAGAAAAGUCCUAAUAUCCUUGUUCGGGUGGCUUAGAACCUCAUGUGAUAAUGAAGUGUUUCCGAUUGAUCACUAUAGACCUGAUAGUAAGGUGGCUAUGUGAGAGCUGAUGAUAAACUCCACUGAUUUAAGGGGGGUGAGGAAGAGGAUCUCUACGUGUUUGGAGCCUGAUCCCUAUCCCACUCAACAGAUACAAACAAAAUAUAUGAGGUUUUCUCAGAAAAGGAUAGAUGUGGUCACAUCUCUCUCUGCUUCACCUCCACAUUAAGCAAUUGUGCAGCAAGUCUUUCUGGAGCAUCGCUAACCCAUAGAACAUGAGCAACAACAGCCACAAUCUAGUUAAUUUUACCUAUAAAGGUAAUGUUGCCUGAGAGUGCUGGACCAUGUGGCAGUUGACAGGCAGUGCCGCCUUACUAAGUGCAGUCUGUCUUUAUGGUGGUUAUUUCUGUGCUGAACUGCUAGAGUGGAAUAUUUUUAUUUACUGGGAAGAAGCUGUGGUUACUUAUGAGAAAACAGUGGCUGUGUGCAUCUUUAUCAUCAAAUCCUUUGGUUUAUACAUCUUGCUCCUGGCUUGGAAUUUAGUAUUUUAGCAUCUUCUGAAUUUGCAUGUUACAUUAAUUGGGCAAGAAGUCCUGUGUCUAAGCAAUGGUGUAUUUAGGAAUAACGGAAGAAUACCCAGGAUCCUACUGUAUUUUAUAACUGGGAGGAGUAACAUGUCCACAGGUGGGAAGCAAGAAUGGGCAAGGCUAGUUUUGACAGCAUACAAUGGAAUUGCUUCCUCCAUCUUAAUUUUUCAGACCUGUCAUAAACAGCAGUGAAUAUGCUCUUUAAGAAGAAAAAGAAGAAGAAAACUGGGAUUACCAGCUACCAUGGCUUUCUGAAACAUCUCUGUACAUGUUAUUGGUGAUCUCCAUAAGUUAUGUGCUCUGUGGGAUAGUAUGAAAGCUGGUUAGGAAACCAUCUUGCAUUUGGUUAUUAAUCUGUGGCAUUGGUUUAGCCUUUGGAUAUGUAGAAAAGGGUUAGAAAUAAAGAGAUGAAUAAGUGAGAUAAAAUGAUAUGAUGUAAUUGCUUCCCAUGGUUUAAAAAAAAAAAAUUAAACUAAAACUCUGCUUUUACCCAGUAUCUAUCUUGGCAUUGGUCUCUACAUGGUACUCUUUUCUAUACAUCACUCCUUUAAUUAAAAGAUGCCUCCCUGUCUCUGCGGGGCACAUCCCCAAGGAGAGAUCAUUUUUGGCUGAGAAGCAUAUUCUGUGCUUUCAUCCUCCUCAAAACCCAGAGUUUGUUUUCCCUCUGUUUGCCAAUCAGCAUGAAACAGCUUCUUUUGCUCUUAGUGCACCGGAAACAAAUACAAGGAGAAGAAAGAAAGCCCGAGGCAAUUUUAGUGUGGGGGAAUGCAGUGCUGAUGCAAAGCUGCAGUAGAUGUAUGCCUUGAUGAGAUGUUAAUGAAUAUACAGUGCACACAAGUAGAGCAGCUCUGAGAGCGUGGAA